rnacentral:tRNA from 1 species
AGGUGUUUAUUUUAAGUAAAAUACUUGAUUUCGGCUCAAGAGCUUGUGGUUAGAGUCCACAAACACCCA